rnacentral:rRNA from 1 species
AUUCCAGCUCCAAUAGCGUAUAUUAAUGUUGUUGCAGUUAAAAAGCUCGUAGUUGGAUCUCUAACGCACGCGGCCGGUCCGCCCCUCACGGGGUGUGCACUGCGCCGUCGUGCGUUAUCCUGGGGGAGAGCGUCCCGCGCAUUAGGUUGUGUGGGUCGGGAUCCUCCACGUUUACUCAAAAUAAAUAAGAGUGUUCAAAGCAGGCGAUUGCUGUGAAUUCUUCAGUUGGGAAUAAUAAGAUAGGACUCGGGGACUAUUUUGUUGGUUUGCAUCUCCGAGUAAUGAUUAAUAGGGACAGUUAGAGAUAUUCAUAUUCAGUUGUCAGAGGUGAAAUUCUUGGAUUUACGGAAGAUGAACUACUGCGAAAGCAUUUAUCGAGGAUGUUUUCAUUG